CCUACGGGAGGCAGCAGUGGGGAAUAUUGGGCAAUGGGCGCAAGCCUGACCCAGCAACGCCGCGUGAAGGAAGAAGGCUUUCGGGUUGUAAACUUCUUUUCUCAGGGACGAAGCAAGUGACGGUACCUGCGGAAUAAGCCACGGCUAACUACGUGCCAGCCGCCGCGGUAAUACGUAGGUGGCAAGCGUUAUCCGGAUUUACUGGGGGUAAAGGGCGUGUAGGCGGGGACGCAAGUCAGAUGUGAAAACCACGGGCUCAACCUGUGGCCUGCAUUUGAAACUGGGUUUCUUGAGUACUGGAGAGGCAGACGGAAUUCCAGGUGUAGCGGUGAAAUGCGUAGAGAUUAGGAGGAACACCAGUGGCGAAGGCGGUCUGCUGGACAGCAACUGACGCUGAGGUGCGAAAGCGUGGGGAGCAAACAGGAUUAGAUACCCCAGUAGUC
rnacentral:rRNA from 1 species